rnacentral:rRNA from 1 species
UACGUAGGGAGCAAGCGUUGUCCGGAUUUACUGGGUGUAAAGGGUGCGUAGGCGGCUUUGCAAGUCAGAAGUGAAAUCCAUGGGCUUAACCCAUGAACUGCUUUUGAAACUGCAGAGCUUGAGUGGAGUAGAGGUAGGCGGAAUUCCCGGUGUAGCGGUGAAAUGCGUAGAGAUCGGGAGGAACACCAGUGGUGAAGGCGGCCUGCUGGGCUCUAACUGACGCUGAGGCACGAAAGCGUGGGUAGCAAACAGG